UGGUCGGGCCUACCACCCAGUUGGACGAUAACCCUGCAGGUGGUGUUAAUUACAUCACUGACCAUCCUGCAUCUGUGUUUUAUUAACUGUCACACUGUUAGUGUGAGAGUCUGCAACACUCCAGCCAACUUGUACUACAGUUAAACUUUGAGCUGCAAACAUAUCCGCAAGGAUGUUUGAACCACCUUUCUCCCAGCGAAAGAGAAAAGGAGACCCAGUUGAAUCAUCCGUGGUAAAAAAGAGCAGACCAUGCUCCUUCUCUAGUGGAAGAGUCUCCUCAGAUGCUCCAGCCACCCCAGCACCACUUUUAGAUAAACAACAAAAACCAGAGAAGAGGAGGCACAAA